UACGUAGGGUGCGAGCGUUGUCCGGAAUUAUUGGGCGUAAAGAGCUCGUAGGCGGUCUGUCGCGUCUGCUGUGAAAACCCGAGGCUCAACCUCGGGCCUGCAGUGGGUACGGGCAGACUAGAGUGCGGUAGGGGAGAAUGGAAUUCCUGGUGUAGCGGUGAAAUGCGCAGAGUAUCAGGAGGAACACCGGUGGCGAAGGCGAAUCUCUGGACAGUUACUGACACUGAGGCACGA
rnacentral:rRNA from 1 species